UUUUUUUUUUAAUUUUUUUUUUCAUUUAUUUAUGAUAGUCACACAGAGAGAGAGAGAGGGGCAGAGACACAGGCAGAGGGAGAAGCAGGCUCCAUGCACCGGGAGCCCGACGUGGGAUUCGAUCCCGGGUCUCCAGGAUCGCGCCCUGGGCCAAAGGCAGGCGCUAAACCGCUGCGCCACCCAGGGAUCCCUAUUUCUUCUUAUUAUUUUAAUUUUUAAUAAAAUAAACUUCUGCAUUCCAUCUAUGUUUGCAGGGAAUUCCCAUAAUUUUUAUCAGUAAGUAUAAGAAUAAUGCCUUGUAUGCAAUCUAAUGCUAAAUCUGGCAGCAUGGAAUCAAUUAAUGAACUGCAGUAAAAUGACACAAGCAAAAGGCUAUUCACAUGUGGAUCUCACCUUGUUCUUCCAUACCAGUAAAGAGUCCUGAAUGCUGGAUGGAUGUAUAUCAGUUCCCUAUACCCUUCUAUUAUAGCAGGAAUAAAAAAAAAUUCUCACAGAACUCUGUUCUACAUAGAAGAAAGUGUUUACCACGCACUCGUUCUUUUAAAUGUUAAGCAUUUAUUACAUUUGACAACAUGUUCGCAAUCUUAGGGAAAUAAAAGAAUAACAGCUAAAUUAAUUGAGCACUGUGUGCCAGGUUCAAUUUUAAGUAUUUUACAAUGUAUGUAAGGUAUGUGCAAUUAUCAUUCUCAUUUUGCAAAUAAGAACAGUGAGGCACAGAGAAAUGAAGUAACUUGAAGUCUAUAGAACUUCACUCUAAUAAACAGUGGAGUCAGGAUUGAAGCUCAGAAAUUCAGCUUCAAUCAUCAGUUGUACACUCAUCUAAAAGAACCCCAAGUCUUUACUCAAACCAUUAGCCUGUUUCUGUGUCCAGGAUCUGGCACCAGCCUUAUCCAUAUUUUUUGUGAGAAAAGAAAAUAAGCACAGAGUAAUUUCUUUACAAAUAUCAGGGAAGUAAUUAUUCACAUGCAGUCUAUGAAAUAUACCAUACACACUAGAGCACCAUUCCAAUAAUUUCUGCUAAAAUUCUGAAGAGCUGUAUGUAAAAGAAAAGGCCAUGAUUACAUACUGACAAACUCAUGCAUGUUCAUCCUUUCGAAAAUUGCGUGUAUGCUGUGUGUGUGUGUGUGUGUAAGUAUGGCAAAUUAUUGUGUCAGUCAUACCAUCAUGUUCUUGGUGAUGGAAAAUCAUCACGGUACCAGACAAAUUCAAUUCCUGUCCUCAUAGAGCUUAUGAGUUGAACACUUAAGUAAUUAUACAAGUAAAAAUCAAGUAUUAUUUAGAUGAGGCUUCAACGCCUUGCUACUUGAAGUGUGGUAAUAGGAUAGUUAAGAAUCAAUAAGUGUGCAUUAUGUAUGAAUCACAAAAAUUAAUGAACUAUAUUAAUUUUGUAAAGGAGGCCAUACAAUAUAAUGGGAUUAGAAGCACAAAAAACCAGUAAAGCAUGUGAUAAUUAGACAGAGAUAUUUUUUAGCAAGAAGACAGAAACACCAAAGUUCAAGAAGAUAUUUAGAAGUUGUUUGAGGAGCAAUCUAAGGAGAGGUAUCAUGGACACUCAAUUGUAUCUGACCACAAAUGGGCAAUUUACCUCUAGAUUACCAGAAAAAAACAUAGCAAUCUAAUGAUCCAAAUAUCUAUUUAGACAAAGUCCUGGAGAUACUCAACAUGUUCUUUCAAAUCUAUUCCCCACACUUCACCCUAUGGCCAAGUAAGCACCUGUGUUAAAAUCAAACUCACCUGAAUCAAGCAAAGGCAGGCUAAAACCAAAUUCAUUUGGUUUGGGGAGUAUACAAGCCUUCUUUCAAAGUUUUCAAAUAUUAAAUAGGCAUCAUAAAAGCAUAAUGGAGCAGACAUUUUCUCUUUUUCAUUAACUACAUGGAAUUAAAAUUUUGGAUCCAGUUCCAGGGUAUUCCAGCUGUAUCAUAACUAUAGGCUGAAAUUAUAUAGAUCCUAAAGUUCUUUGACUCUUAAGAUUUUUAGUACGUUGCCAAAUACACACACACACACACACACACACACACACACAUACACAUAACACUAAAUAGGUAAAUGAACAAGCAAAUUAUGAAUGCAUGCAUGGCUCACAUAUUUCUGAGAUGAGUCAAAAUUCUGAAUACUUUUUCCAAGUUCCAUUCCAAGGGUCAACUCUAAAAUGGGCAUACCACCUUGUUCAUUCCCUACCCUUUGUCAGCUUCAUCUAUUCUUACUUACUCUGUCCUUUCUCUGACCAUAGGCUGAAAUGCAUUUAGGUUUUAAGGACUGUCUUCAGUUUGACCUUAACUACUAGGUACUCCUGAAACUAAAUGAAUUACCAGAAGUUGGUUGCCUAAUUUAAAUGAUUUGGUUCAUGUUUAGCACUCCUACAUUUUCCCAUUUCAUUCUCUGUUAGAGAAGGAAGGAAUCUGGGAUUGUAUCACUUGAAGAUGUCUGCAUUUAGUUUCUAUUUGUGUCUCUAAUUAUAAUUUUAAUAGCACGAGGGUGAGGAUCAUGUCUCUUUAUAACUAUGCUAACUGCAAUAUCUAGCAAAUUGUAUGGUUAUAUAGUAAAUACUUAAUAAAUCUUUACAGAAAAAAAGUGUCACUUUCUACCCCACCCAUGCAAUAAUCUCAACAAAGUACCCUUAGAUAUUUCUGACUCCUAAGGGGAAAAAAGGGAGAGAGAAAAAUGUGUUGACAUUAAAUCGACAAUAAAACAAAACAUAGCUAGUAUACAACUCUUCAAAACAGCCACUUAGCUUCUAUAUAGUAUCCUGGAAUCCUGUAAUGUAAAACUAAGUUUUGAAGUCUCUAGAAGAGUGCUAUCCAUAAAAGUUUCUCCAGUGACAUAAAUGUUCUAUACCUGUGCUGUUUGGUAGGGUAGACACUAAGGAUGUAGCUAUUGAUCGCUUGACAUAUGACUAGUUCAAUUAAGGAAAUGAAUUUAUUUCAUUUUCCUUCAUUUAAAUUAAGAUUAAAAUUACCACAUGUGACCUGUGGCUAUUAUUUUAUACAAAACAGUUCUAGGUUAAAAAAAACUGGCAUUAUUUCACAUGCUGACAUUUAGGGACGCCUUUGAUGCCAAAGAACAAUCUACACUCAUCCCAAACAAAUACUUUGGACAUAAGACUAAGGAAAAUCAUAUGCUAGCAUGUUAACAAAAUUAUUUUUAUUCUAUUGUGACUGAAGAAAAAUACUAUCUUCUGAAAAA
rnacentral:lncRNA from 1 species